rnacentral:rRNA from 1 species
AACGAACGCUGGCGGCAGGCCUAACACAUGCAAGUCGAGCGAAGCCUUCGGGCUUGGCGGCGGACGGGUGAGUAACGCGUGGGAACGUGCCCUUUGCUACGGAAUAGCCCCGGGAAACUGGGAGUAAUACCGUAUGUGCCCUUCGGGGGAGAGAUUUAUCGGCAAAGGAUCGGCCCGCGUUGGAUUAGGUAGUUGGUGGGGUAAUGGCCUACCAAGCCGACGAUCCAUAGCUGGUUUGAGAGGAUGAUCAGCCACACUGGGACUGAGACACGGCCCAGACUCCUACGGGAGGCAGCAGUGGGGAAUCUUAGACAAUGGGGGAAACCCUGAUCUAGCCAUGCCGCGUGAUCGAUGAAGGCCUUAGGGUUGUAAAGAUCUUUCAGUGGGGAAGAUAAUGACUGUACCCACAGAAGAAGCCCCGGCUAACUCCGUGCCAGCCGCCGCAGUAACAC